rnacentral:rRNA from 1 species
CCUACGGGAGGCAGCAGUGGGGAAUAUUGGGCAAUGGGCGCAAGCCUGACCCAGCAACGCCGCGUGAAGGAAGAAGGCUUUCGGGUUGUAAACUUCUUUUCUCAGGGACGAAGCAAGUGACGGUACAUGAGGAAUAAGCCACCGCUAACUACGUGCCAGCAGCCGCGGUAAGACGUGGGUGGCAAGAGUUAUCCGGAUUUACUGGGUGUAAAGGGCGAGUAGGCGGGCCUGGAAGUCAGAUGUGAAAACCACGGGCUCAACCUGUGGCCUGCAUUUGAAACUGUAGUUCUUGAGUACUGGAGAGGCAGACGGAAUUCCUAGGGUAGCGGUGAAAUGCGUAGAUAUUAGGAGGAACACCAGUGGCGAAGGCGGUCUGCUGGACAGCAACUGACGCUGAGGCGCGAAAGCGUGGGGAGCAAACAGGAUUAGAUACCCGUGUAGUC